UACGUAGGUGGCAAGCGUUAUCCGGAAUUAUUGGGCGUAAAGCGCGCGUAGGCGGUUUCUUAAGUCUGAUGUGAAAGCCCCCGGCUCAACCGGGGAGGGUCAUUGGAGACUGGGAGUCUUGAGUGCAGAAGAGGAGAGUGGAAUUCCAUGUGUAGCGGUGAAAUGCGUAGAUAUAUGGAGGAACACCAGUGGCGAAGGCGGCUCUCUGGUCUGUGACUGACGCUGAGGCGCGAAAGCGUGGGGAGCAAACAGG
rnacentral:rRNA from 1 species